GAUGAACGCUGGCGGCGUGCCUAAUACAUGCAAGUCGAGCGAACAGAUGAGGAGCUUGCUUCUCUGAUGUUAGCGGCGGACGGGUGAGUAACACGUGGAUAACCUACCUAUAAGACUGGGAUAACUUCGGGAAACCGGAGCUAAUACCGGAUGAUAUUUUGAACCGCAUGGUUCAAUAGUGAAAGACGGUUUUGCUGUCACUUAUAGAUGGAUCCGCGCCGCAUUAGCUAGUUGGUAAGGUAACGGCUUACCAAGGCAACGAUGCGUAGCCGACCUGAGAGGGUGAUCGGCCACACUGGAACUGAGACACGGUCCAGACUCCUACGGGAGGCAGCAGUAGGGAAUCUUCCGCAAUGGGCGAAAGCCUGACGGAGCAACGCCGCGUGAGUGAUGAAGGUCUUCGGAUCGUAAAACUCUGUUAUUAGGGAAGAACAAAUGUGUAAGUAACUAUGCACGUCUUGACGGUACCUAAUCAGAAAGCCACGGCUAACUACGUG
rnacentral:rRNA from 1 species